rnacentral:lncRNA from 1 species
AAAGAAAUCUUUAUUUUUAAUUUUUUUUAACUUUCUCAAUAUUUACAAAGAACAGAAUGAACAAGCGAGAUGCCCCCUCGCCCCCCCCCCCGGGGGGGCGGGGGGUAUGGCAGCUGAACAGGUGUGUGAUGGGCAGCUGCCACACUAGGGUUUCACUUCCCGUGUUUUCCUGUGCCUUGGUCCACAAGCUGCAAGCUCCCUCCGCAUAGGUACCUGUCUGAGGAGCCUUGUCCCUGAGGCAGCCUGGCCAGGCCCCUGCCCAGCUCCCUCCUCACACGGAGAGCUUGUCAGUGACUGACCCCCAUCCUGGAGGCCAAAAGAGAGAGGGCUGAGGGUGUUCAGCUAGAGGUAGCCAAAGACAUUGAAGAUAGGGGGAGGCAUGGCUGGCUUAGUCGGGAUAGGCUUCAGAACUACGGGUCUGUACACUUUGGGCCCUGGGGUGUCCACACCCUUGCAGAAGUGGGCCAGAUCCACAGGCGAGGCCAGGCUUCUCCUCCACAGGCCCAGACUGGGUACUGGGCCCUGAGGCAGGACCCCUGGGAGACCCGGGAAGAUGGGCUGUCCAUGGGACUGGAAAGGGCAGUAGCUCCAAGCAUCCAGGCUGCCUACCAAGGAUACCCCAGACAUCUUGAGUGGUUCCGUGUCAGCUAGUACCCUUGGGGACAUGGGCAGUGGAGCAGUCUCGGGCCCCAGGGACUCCAGACCCUUGCAGUUUUUCUUAUUCUCAUACAAAGAUGCCUCCCUGGGGGCCAGGCCCACCUCCAGCCCCAUUGGGUAGCUGAGAGUGGGCCUUGGCUCCUCCCAGAACGAGGCGGGCAGCUGUCUCUUCCUCAUGGGAACCUGGCCGGGUCUAGCAGCCUCUGGAUUCAGCCCCCGGAAGCCCUGAUCCUUAGAAAGGCAUUCCUCCCUAAAGGGGGUCCCCAGGGCCUUUUCUGUGCAGCUCCCACCCCCACCGGGGCUGGAUUGGGGACAGGGAUGGAGGGGUGGCCGUCCAGGCCUCUCUUCAGGUCCCCUCUGCAGGUGGGGCUCUGCCACCCUGCCAGGCAGGCCCCUAGGGAGCCGCGAGUACUUCUGAGAGAAGCGCUUGAGUUGCUUCUGCAGGUACUUGCGAUGGUCCACAGAGCGGCGGCAGGGUGCGGACUUGUCCAGGGCCGCCUUGAUGUCACUGGACGCCAGGUUGACAAAAUUCAGAAGCAUCUUCACGUCACUGUCAGCUGCCAUCACCACGAGAACUGUGCAGGGCUUUCCAUGAAGAGCAUGGGCUCUGGAGGAGCGCACAGGGCAGACCUAGGGAACACAAUGAAUGCAAUAGGCAGCAGGAGUCUCUCCAGGGCAGUUACGCCUUCCCCAGGGCCACCAGGACCCAAUGCACACAUCCUCCAUUCUUCUGUCCCAAACAGAAUCCACAAUGGGGCUGGUGAGUCGUUAUUCAGCACCUUUUGACUAUCUGAGAUGAGACAGGUGUCAACUAUCUCAUUCAGUCUUCUGGGGCCUGUUGCCCUCUUCUGGAAGUCAAGGCUCAGAAACUGCAAACACCUUGCUCAAAGCCACCCAGCUACAAGUGGCAUUGCUGGGGCUACAUUCCCAGUUGGUCGCAUCUCCCACACAUCGUGAAGGCCAGCGCGCACGACUCACCAUUCAAGUUUUUAUUUUCAAAGCCAAAGAAAUCCUCUAAAGAAGGCCAAGCCCCCUUCCCCCUCCUUGGUGGUGGCCUUCCCCUCCCACCACCCCGCCCCCUCCGCAGUCCCCACGCUCCACCCCCAACUCUCACACAGGGCCAGGCAGGAUCUCUGUCUAGCACUUAAUCUAGACCUGCCUUCAAGGCUCAUCCCUGCCGGCCGCAGGGACUCCCCUGUAGAAGCAUCUGCAGCAAUUUCAUGCCUCCUCGGCCACCACCCACAGUACUGUGCCCCUCCCCCAAGGCUCUAGUCCGCUCACGCCCUGCCCUCCACCCAGCCAGGCCAAACCACUUGGGACUCCGUACUGACCGAAGGUGAAGGCCAGGGCCCCCCGCCAACGUGGCCGGCAGGUUCCCCACCGUAGACCCCCGCAAGCCUGACGAGCUGGCGUGCAGUGAGCUCCGUGCAGGCUGAGAAGCAGUUGUGCACAGCCCUUGAGUGGGCUGAAUGGAGGACAAGUCCGGAGCUGGGGGGCCCUCAGGCCAAUCAGGAGCGCCUCUCCAGAUACAAAGCAUCCCAAUCAGGCGGCGGAGCCCCGGUCCCACAUUCUUUGCCGUCACAAAUUGUCACCAUGGGGACCAUCACAAAAAAAGACAGCUCCCAAAUGCAAUCAUUUCCCGGUAAAUUUCUACCCUUCAGCCCCACUUUUCUCCAGUCUCCAUACCCACUCCUCCCCUUGACCUCAGUAACCUGGUUUCUUGAGGUGUGUGUGUGUGUGUGUGUGUGUGUGUGUGUGUGUGUGUGUGCGCGCAAAAAGUAUUCAGGAUCAAGGAGGGCUGGGCACAGUGAGACAGGCACCCAACCUUCCCCAGAUACUUCAGGUCUCCAGCUGCCAUGCUCCAGUGCAGACAGACAAUCGGAUGGGGCUUGAGGUAGAAAGGAAUAGGACAGUUCAGUGACGAAGCCCCAGCUCAGCUCACAUUAGACUCUCCAGAGCCCUUCGUGUGCUCUGUCCUACGUCGGCUUGGCACGGGGAAGGCCUCUUGUCUCUGAAAGUAACUGCUUUGUCCAUUCCAACGAAGACCUGCAUCUUGGUGACGGGAAAUGACUGGUUCUGUUUUCUUGCAGUCCAACUUUAGCAAGGAAGAUGGCGCUUAAAGCAGGGGGCGGAUUCCAGGCUGCACCCCGGUAGGAGUCUCUGCCGAGCUCUGCCAAAGGCAAGUGAGCUGAGCAGAGUGACUAAGUCAACCGGAGAGCAGGGCACCAGCCAACCUUCCCCUCCUCGGAGCCCCCACUGCCAGUCCCGAGACCUGUACCUCGGAUCUCAGCAAUGAAAAAUCCUACUUGACUUAAAAGUAUAAAUAAAUGUAUGCUAAACGUUCCCCAGGUGCAAGAAUUACUGUCCAAUGAAGAGCCACUGUCCCUGGACAGGGAAUGACAGAUUCCUGCUGGCAGUGAGUCCCAGUCUUUGGUUAUGACAUCCCAAUAUGCUGCGGUCUGACAGCUGUCAACUGGAAUCAGACCUAAUUUCCCCAGGGACUAUACCUGCCCAGAGGGCUGGCUUACUCUGACCUCUCCAGCUCUGGGGAGGAAUGCGGCCAAUCACUCUGACUUGGGGAACACGCAAAGGCCACUUGAGGUCCAGCAACUUGCCAGGAGCUCUGUUAAUACGGGACGACGCAUCACAGGGUG